AGCCCGUUAGAUUCUCGCGAUACUUUUCCAACUCCCCCUUUUGGGGGGCUUUAUAGGAGCGGAAGUUGCGGAGAUUACCUUUAAAAUUUAAACCUAAAUGAGUAAACAAGCCAAGCUGCUGACAAGGAAGGCUCUGAAGAGUGGUAAGCUGCAGAGACUCUGAGCUGGAAGAAACAGAGACCAGCUUAGCUGCCUGGAAGAGGGUUAGACCAACCGAGGCUCCUGCAAAGGACACUCUCAAAUGUGUUGAGAUGCCCACAGGCUGUGCCGUGUGCUUCAGGUUCCCAUGCUGGGUGGGGCCUUGGUCAUGCAGCUGUCUUUGAGUCAUUUUUGCUCCUAGGUCAUGAACGUCUCAGAAUUACAGAAAUUGUGUUUGUGAAGAUUUAUCAAGACAUUGACUGAAGAUGUUUUUUGUGAUUCAUAUUGUAGAGAGAAUUAAACCCAGGACUUCAGACAUGCUAAUCAGGUAUGUUGCUGGUGAGUUACAAGUCUUGUCAUCUUACAAAUCUUACUUUUUUGUUGUUUUGUUUUGUU